rnacentral:rRNA from 1 species
UACGGAGGGUGCGAACGUUAAUCGGAAUCACUGGGCGUAAAGCGCGCGUAGGCGGUUUGUUAAGUGGGAUGUGAAAGCCCCGGGCUUAACCUGGGAAUUGCAUUUUAAACUGGCGAACUAGAGUGCGGUAGAGGGAGGUAGAAUUUCCUGUGUAGCGGUGAAAUGCGUAGAUAUAGGAAGGAAUACCAGUGGCGAAGGCGGCCUCCUGGAUCGACACUGA